rnacentral:rRNA from 1 species
AGCAAUACGUUAGUGGCGCACGGGUGAGUAACACGUGGGAACCUAUCUUUCGGUUCGGAAAAACGGAGGGAAACUUCCGCUAAUACCGUAUACGCCCCUUGGGGGAAAGAUUUAUCGCCGAUUGAGGGGCCCGCGUCUGAUUAGCUAGUUGGUGAGGUAAAGGCUCACCAAGGCGACGAUCAGUAGCUGGUCUGAGAGGACGAUCAGCCACACUGGGACUGAGACACGGCCCAGACUCCUACGGGAGGCAGCAGUGGGGAAUAUUGGACAAUGGGGGCAACCCUGAUCCAGCCAUGCCGCGUGAGUGGUGAAGGCCUUCGGGUUGUAAAGCUCUUUCGCACGCGACGAUGAUGACGGUAGCGUGAGAAGAAGCCCCGGCUAACUUCGUGCCAGCAGCCGCGGUAAUACGAAGGGGGCUAGCGUUGUUCGGAUUUACUGGGCGUAAAGCGCACGCAGGCGGUCUUUUUAG